GACGAACGCUGGCGGCGUGCUUAACACAUGCAAGUCGAACGAAGUGGCGAACGGGUGAGUAACGCGUAAUCAACCUGCCCUUCAGGGGGGGACAACAGUUGGAAACGCCUGCUAAUACCGCAUACUGACGGCGGGGAUUGCGUUUGAUUAGCUCGUUGGCGGGGUAACGGCCCACCAAGGCGAUGAUCAGUAGCCGGUCGGGGAGGAGGAACGGCCAAAUGGGGACUGGGAAACGGCCCAGGCUCCUACGGGGAGCAGCAGUGGGGAAUCUUCCGCAAUGGACGAAAGGCUGACGGAGCAACGCCGCGUGAGUGAUGACGGCCUUCGGGUUGUAAAGCUCUGUUAAUCGGGACGCGGUACCGGAAUAGAAAGCCACGGCUAACUACGUGCCAGCAGCCGCGGUAAUAC
rnacentral:rRNA from 1 species